GGUGGUAGUUUUUAGUACAUAAGCGCCAUGGAUGGUGAAUUGUGCAUGGUGGUACUAAGAACCAUCAGUAUCUUUUGAAGAUUUUCUACCUCC
rfam:Glossina morsitans morsitans, isolate Yale, WGS project CCAG01000000 data, contig: ctg10015677